AUAAAUCAUGUUUACCAAUUAUUACUAUCCAUAAUUGUACCUGGUCUUUUAAAGCUCCUUGUCGAUUCGGCACCUACCACCUCAUUACUGAGUCUAUUCCAUUCGUCUAUCACUGGAGGGCGCAAACAUAUCAGCUGCUAUACAAGACUGCCACACUUAGCUUUAAACCCUCGCUCUUGCCAUUAAUAUGGAUGCCGUGACGAGGUGCAGUAACGGAAGGGAGGAAGGAAGUGAGAAUGAGUAGCCCGUCACCUACUCUACUUUGUGACGAAGAUGGAAGAACACGACAAUGAAAGAAGCGGGAAUUAUAUAAACGCGAAAAAUAAAAUAAGCAACGGAAAUCGACGUCAUGUUGCAGCCAGCAAAAUCCACAUUUCGCAAAAUUAUUCAACGUGAGCUUAAACAGCGGAUUUCAUGUAUGCCACAAGCCUGGCCCACUUACGCCCUCUGUGCCAUGCGGUUCCUGAAGGCAGAGGUGUUCGGGGGCGAGUACCACCUGAGGGGAGGAGUGAGGAAAGGGAGAGAGGAGGUCAGCGUCAAGACUCUCGCUCCCUCUCCCUCCUUGACAGUCGGCGUCAUUCUCCCCGGGACUCACUCCUUCACCGUUAAUCUGAAGCGUAGGUAGUACAUUGCCCUGCCUCUUCCUCCUCCUCCUCCUCCUCCUCCUCGUCCUCCUCCCCCUACUACUUUCUAUUUCCUGAAGAGAAAUAACGACGAAUAACGAGAGAGCAGCACAAGACAACAGCAUGAAGUCAAAAGGAGGAAGACACAGCACAGUUGCCUAUAACUCGUACAUACAUCACUGUUAUAGUUAUUGACCACUAAAACCGACUCCUAGCAUGAUUAGUUAGUUAGUUAGCCAGUCCUGAUUA